GCCCAGCUGGCUCAGAGCGUGUGACUCUUGAUCCCGGGGUUGUGAGUUCGAGCCCCACGUUGGGUG
rnacentral:tRNA from 1 species